rnacentral:rRNA from 1 species
UACGGAGGAUGCAAGCGUUAUCCGGAAUGAUUGGGCGUAAAGCGUCCGCAGGUGGCAAUGUAAGUCUGCUGUCAAAGCGUCUGGCUCAACCAGAUAAAGGCAGUGGAAACUACAUAGCUAGAGUAAGGUAGGGGUAGAGGGAAUUCCUGGUGUAGCGGUGGAAUGCGCAGAUAUCAGGAGGAACACCAAUAGCGAAGGCAGCUCGCUGGGACGUUACUGACACUGAGGCGCGAAAGCGUGGGGAGCGAACAGG